rnacentral:rRNA from 1 species
GACGAACGCUGGCGGCGUGCUUAACACAUGCAAGUCGAACGGUAAGGCCCUUCGGGGUACACGAGUGGCGAAAGGGUGAGUAACACGUGGGUGAUCUGCCCUGCACUUCGGGAUAAGCCUGGGAAACUGGGUCUAAUACCGGAUAGGACUCCUGGCUUCAUGGUUGGGGGUGGAAAGCUUUUGCGGUGUGGGAUGGGCCCGCGGCCUAUCAGCUUGUUGGUGGGGUAAUGGCCUACCAAGGCGACGACGGGUAGCCGGCCUGAGAGGGUAACCGGUCAGACUGGGACUGAGAUACGGCCAAGACUCCUACGGGAGGCAGCAGUGGGGAAUAUUGCACAAUGGGCGCAAGCCUGAUGCAGCGACGCCGCGUGAGGGAUGACGGACUUCGGGUUGUAAACCUCUUUCAGCUAUGACGAAGCGCAAGUGACGGUAGUAGCAGAAGAAGGACCGGCCAACUACGUGCCAGCCGCCGCAGUAA